rnacentral:rRNA from 1 species
GGAUGUGCCCAGAUGGGAUUAGCUAGUAGUGGGGUAAUGGCUCACCUAGGCGACGAUCCCUAGCUGGGGCCUCACGCCAUCGGAUGUGCCCAGAUGGGAUUAGCUAGUAGGUGGGGUAAUGGCUCACCUAGGCGACGAUCCCUAGCUGGUCUGAGAGGAUGACCAGCCACACUGGAACUGAGACACGGUCCAGACUCCUACGGGAGGCAGCAGUGGGGAAUAUUGCACAAUGGGCGCAAGCCUGAUGCAGCCAUGCCGCGUGUGUGAAGAAGGCCUUAGGGUUGUAAAGCACUUUCAGCGAGGAGGAAGGCGUUGCAGUUAAUAGCUGCAGCGAUUGACGUUACUCGCAGAAGAAGCACCGGCUAACUCCGUGCCAGCAGCCGCGGUAAUACGGAGGGUGCAAGCGUUAAUCGGAAUUACUGGGCGUAAAGCGCACGCAGGCGGUUUGUUAAGUCAGAUGUGAAAUCCCCGAGCUUAACUUGGGAACUGCAUUUGAAACUGGCAAGCUAGAGUCUUGUAGAGGGGGGUAGAAUUCCAGGUGUAGCGGUGAAAUGCGUAGAGAUCUGGAGGAAUACCGGUGGCGAAGGCGGCCCCCUGGACAAAGACUGACGCUCAGGUGCGAAAGCGUGGGGAGCAAAC